rnacentral:rRNA from 1 species
AUUGAACGCUGGCGGCAUGCCAUACACAUGCAAGUCGAACGGCAGCGGGGGAGAAGCUUGCUUUUCCUGCCGGCGAGUGGCGAACGGGUGAGUAAUACAUCGGAACGUGCCCUGUAGUGGGGGAUAACUAGUCGAAAGAUUAGCUAAUACCGCAUACGACCUGAGGGUGAAAGGGGGGGACCGCAAGGCCUCAUGCUAUAGGAGCGGCCGAUGUCUGAUUAGCUAGUUGGUGGGGUAAAGGCCUACCAAGGCGACGAUCAGUAGCUGGUCUGAGAGGACGAUCAGCCACACUGGGACUGAGACACGGCCCAGACUCCUACGGGAGGCAGCAGUGGGGAAUUUUGGACAAUGGGCGAAAGCCUGAUCCAGCAAUGCCGCGUGUGUGAAGAAGGCCUUCGGGUUGUAAAGCACUUUUGUCCGGAAAGAAAUGGCUCUGGUUAAUACCUGGGGUCGAUGACGGUACCGGAAGAAUAAGGACCAGCUAACUACGUGCCAGCAGCCGCCGUAA